CGAGUGGCGAACGGGUGAGUAAUAUAUCGGAACGUGCCCGGUCGUGGGGGAUAACGUAGCGAAAGCUACGCUAAUACCGCAUACGAUCUACGGAUGAAAGCGGGGGAUCGCAAGACCUCGCGCGAUUGGAGCGGCCGAUAUCAGAUUAGGUAGUUGGUGAGGUAAAGGCUCACCAAGCCGACGAUCUGUAGCUGGUCUGAGAGGACGACCAGCCACACUGGGACUGAGACACGGCCCAGACUCCUACGGGAGGCAGCAGUGGGGAAUUUUUGGACAAUGGGGCGCAAGCCUGAUCCAGCCAAUGCCGCGUGCAGGAUGAAGGCCUUCGGGUUGUAAACUGCUUUGUACGGAACGAAACGGUGAGCUCUAAUACAGUUUGCUAAUGACGGUACCGUAAGAAUAAGCACCGGCUAACUACGUG
rnacentral:rRNA from 1 species